CCUACGGGAGGCAGCAGUAGGGAAUAUUGGGCAAUGGGCGAGAGCCUGACCCAGCCAUGCCGCGUGCCGGAUGAAGGCCUUCUGGGUUGUAAACGGCUUUUCUCAGGGAAGAAAAAGAGGAUGCGUCCUAAACUGACGGUACCUGAGGAAUAAGCACCGGCUAACUCCGUGCCAGCAGCCGCGGUAAUACGGAGGGUGCAAGCGUUGUCCGGAUUUAUUGGGUUUAAAGGGUGCGUAGGUGGCCCGUUAAGUCCGGGGUGAAAGCCCACAGCUCAACUGUGGAACUGCCCUGGAUACUGGCGGGCUUGAGUCCAGACGAGGUUGGCGGAAUGGAAGAUGUAGCGGUGAAAUGCAUAGAUAUCUUCCAGAACCCCGAUUGCGUAGGCAGCUGACUAGGCUGGUACUGACACUGAGGCACGAAAGCGUGGGGAGCGAACAGGAUUAGAUACCCUGGUAGUCCACGCCGUAAACGAUGGAUACUCGCUGGUGGCAAUAGACAGUCACUGGCUUAGCGAAAGCGGUAAGUAUCCCCACCGUGGGAGGUACGCGUCGCGAGAGAGAACGUACGAAGAAGUUAGUACGGCGUGAGACGUGCCGACGGACGACGACGAGGGAGGAGGG
rnacentral:rRNA from 1 species